rnacentral:misc_RNA from 1 species
AAACAGCCAACUAAUAGACAAGCCCCACCUGCUCAAAAAUCUGGUGAUACAUGGAAGUAUAUAGUUGGAGGUUUUGGGUUUUUUCUGCUAAUUGCUGCUGUAGUUGUGUUCUUAGUUUACAAAAGCAGAGCUGCAAAAACAAUAGGCCCUUGGAAGACUGGGUUGAGUGGACAGCUGCAAAAAGCAUUUGUCACAGGGGUCCCUAAGCUCAACAGGUCUGAGCUUGAAACAGCAUGUGAGGAUUUUAGCAAUAUAAUUAGUAGUUAUGAU